AGGGAUCAUUACAGACCGGGCGCCCCCAGGGCGCACCCCUUACCCCUUGCCAUCGCCACGAUCGUUGCUUCGGCGGGCCGCCGCGCCCGCCAGAGGCCUCACAGACCCGCGUGAUGUCAGCGUUGUCCGAGACCUACUUAAUCAUUAAAACUUUCAACAACGGAUCUCUUGGUUCCGGCAUCGAUGAAGAACGCAGCGAAAUGCGAUAAGUAAUGCGAAUUGCAGAAUCAGCGAGCCAUCGAGUCUUUGAACGCACAUUGCGCCCCGCGGCACUCCGCGGGGCAUGCCUGUCCGAGCGUCGACACACCCCUCGAGCCUUGCUCGGCGUUGGGCGCGACCCAGGCGGUCGGCCCCAAAGGCAGUGGCGGUUUCGCCCGUCCCCGAGCGUAGUGCAACCCCCGCUCCGGGGCCCGGCAGUCGCACGCCAGGACCACACAUGGACCCGACCUCGGA
rnacentral:misc_RNA from 1 species